rnacentral:misc_RNA from 1 species
UAGGGAGACCUAAUCCAUUUAGAAAUCGAAAACAAUGAAAAUUGUCAAUAGAAACUAAAUUGGUCUAACCUAGGUCGUUCGAGAUUGGUAGACAUCUUUCAAAGUAUUAUUCGGCUUCGUCCAAAACCAUAUAUAAUAAAUGGAAAAAGACAGCACCUAAUUGUCAAAGUUAGACUGUUGGAUGAAGUUCCAGCCAGAACCUUGAAAACUGCAUAAGAGAACAAGAAAAAGCAGGCAGACACAGACAUUUAGAUGGAUGUGGAAGCAAAAGAAAUUGU